CUCGUAGGCGGCUUGGCAAGUCGAUCGUGAAAGCCCGGGGCUUAACCCCGGGACGCCGGUCGAUACUGCCAUGGCUUGGGUCCGGUAGAGGAGAAUGGAAUUCCCGGUGUAGCGGUGAAAUGCGCAGAUAUCGGGAGGAACACCAGUAGCGAAGGCGGUUCUCUGGGCCGGUACCGACGCUGAGGAGCGAAAGCGUGGGGAGCAAACAGGAUUAGAUACCCUGGUAGUC
rnacentral:rRNA from 1 species